GAGAAGGAUAGAAGGAGAAGGAGAUCCGGAAGGGAGGAAGAGCACCGGGGAAGCAGCAGCUCACAGGCCAGCCGCAUUCUGCCACCAUGUCCAGCUCCUGGCCGUCGCGCUACCGAUUUGUCGCCGAUUUCGCCAUCCGCGCCGUCGUCCUUACUGCGAGACCAGCGCCGCCGUUGCCAUCCUUGCAUGAGAAUAGGUAGAGGCUAGCAGUAGAGGACGGCGCAUGAGAGGGAGUUUGCGGUGAAGGGAGAGUGGCGCCGUCUUGUACGCCGCCGUUGCACCUGGAUACCGUCGCCGCUACUGCCUUAUUGUGUUAUUCGGUAAAAAAUUAUGUUUCGAAUAAUCUCGCGUUAGUAUUCUGUUGUGUUUGGUUAAUGAAUGAGUCUUGGUAACGUGGGAUCGAGUCCUGAUUAUUAUAUGUUGCGAUUAGUGUUGCUAUGGUUAUUGCAAAAGUGGCUGGGAGCUGAGGCUUUAGUUCCCGUCAGUUCGGUUUGAGGCGGAAAGGACUUGAUGAGGCAUUUGGGCUAUGGUUUUGCGUUUUGAGGAUGUGGACGCAGAAGUUAUGAAGAGCUUAUUUUAUUGUUGUUGUGAUGCUCUGUAUUGUUUUAGUUAUGAUUUACUGCACCCUCGCCUUUAUCUUGAUAUAAUCUGUAAGAGGGAUAGGAAUUGUAUUGGAUUAUGUUUG